rnacentral:rRNA from 1 species
GACGUAGGGCGCGAGCGUUGUCCGGAUUUAUUGGGCGUAAAGAGCUCGUAGGCGGUUUGUCGCGUCUGCUGUGAAAACUCGGGGCUUAACUCCGGGCCUGCAGUGGGUACGGGCAGACUAGAGUGCGGUAGGGGAGACUGGAAUUCCUGGUGUAGCGGUGAAAUGCGCAGAUAUCAGGAGGAACACCGAUGGCGAAGGCAGGUCUCUGGGCAUUAACUGACGCUGAGGAGCGAAAGCAUGGGGAGCGAACAGG